rnacentral:rRNA from 1 species
CACGUAGGGGGCAAGCGUUGUCCGGAUUUAUUGGGCGUAAAGAGCUCGUAGGUGGCUGAGUAAGUCGGAUGUUAAAUCCCCAGGCUCAACCUGGGACACCACCCGAUACUGCUCUGGCUAGAGUCCGGUAGGGGAGCGUGGAAUUCCUGGUGUAGCGGUGAAAUGCGCAGAUAUCAGGAGGAACACCAGCGGCGAAGGCGGCGCUCUGGGCCGGUACUGACACUGAGGAGCGAAAGCGUGGGUAGCAAACAGGAUUAGAUACCCUGGUAGUCCACGCCGUAAACGUUGGGCACUAGGUGUGGGGUCUAUUCAACGGACUCCGUGCCGUAGCUAACGCAUUAAGUGCCCCGCCUGGGGAGUACGGCCGCAAGGCUAAA